ensembl:lncRNA
AUUACUCAAUGGUAAGUUAUAAGGCGUUUGAUUGCAGUUAAUUUCAGAAUGUGUAAACAAUGAAUUAUUCAAUGUUAUUAAACACCACUAAAAGUUAUGUUCAACUCCUUAGAAUAUGUUUCCAGUAUUUGGUCAUGGUUAACUUAUGGUUUGACAUUUAUAUUUGGGAUGGCAGGGUAGCUUAGUGGUUAGAGCAUCAGACCAGUGACCGCAACGUUGCUUUUGCGAUUUCUUUUCCACAUUCAUAUUGUGGGUUACUGUGUGUAAAUAAAGCUGGAAAAAGUCAGAUUUUAUGUGUUGACAUUUCAGGCUGUACGGCAAGAAAAGGCAAGCAUUUUGAAAUGGGGUGGUGACUUUCUAUAUCCACUGUGUAACCAUAGUAACCCCUGCGCCCUACAGAGAUGUUUCACUGUGAAACUGUGCUUCCUGAUGUUUUUUGUUUCAUUUGUUUUAUUCCUCAUAUAGUUUUAUUUUCACCGUAUAUUGUUUAAAAGCUGUGUGUACUGAUUUUAAUUAGAACUGCAAGCUAACGCUGCCCCGGCAGAAUAAGCGACCGGCCGUGUAGGUAUUUUGCCAUUGACUUCAAGGGUCACAUUGACCCAGCCACUCCGUGAAUGGUUUGUGACAGGGUGACACGAGGCUCGCCGGUAUGUCAGAAGAGACUGAACCUGAAACAACCUGCAACGUCAAAAGCUGUGGAAAUGAACAAUUUAGCAGAUACAAGUAGCGCCUGACUGAACCAACUUUCUGUCAGAUAAGCUGUCCGUGCAUCUGUGUUCACCAGUAAUAACUUGUUAUUGUAUUCUCAAAACCCCCCAGUCCUCAGAGUUCUCCCGUAUUGUGUCCUUAAUUACUGGCAUUUCUUUUCCGCCAAUAAACCCUCGCGAGAAGCCUACAAUGACAUCCGCUUUGACUCUUUAUGUCAUCAUGAUUGUAGACAGAGAAUGCAUUUGCAUUUACAGCGACCACCAGAGAACAAUUAGGUUAAACUUCCUUGAUUGUGGACAGACUUACUGUUUUCUCACCGGGCCCUUCAUUUUAUGGUAUUUGGUACUGUAUAGGAAGCUACAACUACUACCAGGCCCACCUACACACGUUAAUGAGCUUCUCAGAAUUUAAUGUGUAUUAUAUAACAAAUGAGGACACUGUGGGGAAGUAUUAGCCAAAAGUUGUUAGUGUGAUCGCCCAGGGUAGGAGUGCCUAACUGUUUUUAAAAUCUGGUUUUAGCACUUGAUAUUACACAGCGUGAUGUCAUGGGAGA